UUAACGAGCGAGACCUGGGCGUGCUAGCUAGGCGCGAGUACCGCUUUUGGUACUGAGGCUUGCCUUCCUAGACGGACUGUGGGCGUCUAGUCCACGGAAGCUCCAG
rnacentral:rRNA from 2 species